rnacentral:rRNA from 1 species
AUUGAACGCUGGCGGCAGGCCUAACACAUGCAAGUCGAACGGUAACAGGAAGCAGCUUGCUGCUUCGCUGACAAGUGGCGGACGGGUGAGUAAUGUCUGGGAAGCUGCCUGAUGGAGGGGAUAACUACUGGAAACGGUAGCUAAUACCGCAUAAUGUCGCAAGACCAAAGAGGGGACCUUCGGGCCUCUUGCCAUCGGAUGUGCCCAGAUGGGAUUAGCCUUGUUGGUGGUAACGGCUCACCAAGGCGACGAUCCCUAGCUGGUAUGAGAGGAUGACCAGCCACACUGGAACUGAGACACGGUCCAGACUCCUACGGGAGCAGCAGUCGGGAAUAUUGCACAAU